rnacentral:siRNA from 1 species
UACCGGGUUUACUCGCAGGUCA